CCUACGGGUGGCUGCAGUGGGGGAUAUUGCUCAAUGGGGGAAACGCUGAUGCAGCGACGCCGCGUGUGGGAAGACGGUCCUCUGGAUUGUAAACCACUGUCCCCAGGGACCAAGAUGACGGUACGUGGGGAGUAAGCUCCUGCUAACUACGUGCCAGCAGCCGCGGUAAGACGUAGGGAGCGAGCGUUGUCCGGAUUUAUUGGGUUUAAAGGGAGCGACGGCCGAAUGUCAGUCGUGCUGGGAAAUGUCCGGUCUCAACCCGGGCCUUGCCGCGCGAACUGGCGUGCUUGAGUCCGCGUAGAGCAGGCGGAAGUCGUGGUGUAGCGGUGAAAUGCUUAGAUAUGACGAAGAACCCCGAUUGCGAAGGCAGCUUGCUGCAGCGGAACUGACGCUGAUGCUCGAAAGCGCGGGUAUCGAACAGGAUUAGAUACCCUAGUAGUC
rnacentral:rRNA from 1 species